GACGAACGCUGGCGGCGUGCUUAACACAUGCAAGUCGAGCGGUAAGGCCCCUUCGGGGGUACACGAGCGGCGAACGGGUGAGUAACACGUGAGCAACCUACCCAUCACAUCGGGAUAACUCCGGGAAACCGGUGCUAAUACCGAAUACAACCAUCACAGGCAUCUGACGAUGGUGGAAAGUUCCGGCGGUGAUGGAUGGGCUCGCGGCCUAUCAGCUUGUUGGUGGGGUAACGGCCCACCAAGGCUUCGACGGGUAGCCGGCCUGAGAGGGUGACCGGCCACACUGGGACUGAGACACGGCCCAGACUCCUACGGGAGGCAGCAGUGGGGAAUAUUGGACAAUGGGCGAAAGCCUGAUCCAGCAACGCCGCGUGAGGGAUGACGGCCUUCGGGUUGUAAACCUCUUUCAGCGCAGACGAAGCGAAAGUGACGGUAUGCGCAGAAGAAGGACCGGCCAACUACGUGCCAGCCGCCGCCGUAACAC
rnacentral:rRNA from 1 species